rnacentral:rRNA from 1 species
CCUACGGGAGGCAGCAGUGAGGAAUAUUGGUCAAUGGACGAGAGUCUGAACCAGCCAAGUAGCGUGAAGGAUGACUGCCCUAUGGGUUGUAAACUUCUUUUAUAUGGGAAUAAAAUGUUCCACGUGUGGGAUUUUGUAUGUACCAUAUGAAUAAGGAUCGGCUAACUCCGUGCCAGCAGCCGCGGUAAUACGGAGGAUCCGAGCGUUAUCCGGAUUUAUUGGGUUUAAAGGGAGCGUAGGUGGAUUGUUAAGUCAGUUGUGAAAGUUUGCGGCUCAACCGUAAAAUUGCAGUUGAAACUGGCAGUCGUGAGUACAGUAGAGGUGGGCGGAAUUCGUGGUGUAGUGGUGAAAUGCUUAGAUAUCACGAAGAACUCCGAUUGCGAAGGCAGCUCACUGGACUGCAACUGACACUGAGGCUCGAAAGUGUGGGUAUCAAACAGGAUUAGAUACCCUAGUAGUC